ensembl:lncRNA
GUAUGCGAUUUGAAUAGGUCUAAACUGCCCUUGAAAUAUCAUUAUAACUUCUUUGAAAAGGCAUUUACCGUUUGUAUGAUUUUCCCAAAUGUAAUAUAUUUCCUUGCAUCUUUGUUCAUUGAAAGCUUCUGAAAUAUGUCUGAAAUAAACCUGUAUUGGAGUAGAAAAUAACAUAAUGUUCCAGGAAGUCAAAUCAAAAGCAUUUUCUAAUCAGUAGGUCUUCCACAGGAAAGUAUCACUGUGCAGAGAGCAGAAGCAUCCAGGUUAAUUUUCUUUUCUCUUCUUUUCUUCCUCCCAUAAAUAAAUGACCGAACAGAACGAGAGGCUUUACAAAGUGAACCAUCACAGUGGAAUGCCACUAACAUCAAGAUGCCACGUAUUAACUUCGUUAGUACUACUUAUUUCUCUCUUUCUUGCAGUUAUCUGUGACCGAAUGCCUGGAAACACGCGUUGUUGUGUCUGCUGCCGUAACACGCGGGCUGUCAGCACGGAGCCUGUGAGUGCUGGGCAGGCAGCAGGGAAGCCAGAGCGGUGCAGGGCUCAACCCAGAGGUUAUCCAAGUCAUCAGGAAGCAUCACGUUUGCUCCUGCAGCCUUCGGCGAAGACACAGCUCCUUUCACUGUAACCACAUCUGAGCUCGUGCAACAGGCAUUACUUAAUAACCCCGAGUAGAGAAACAGAAGAAAUUUUCUUUGAAACCCCUCUCCAGUUCCAGCGUUUCUUCUGUUUCUUCUCAAUGUGACGAAACCUGAGCAUGAAUGGGAAGAGUUCACUCGUAAUGCGGCCAGCCCCUGUGGUGUCGAGCUGAGAAAGUCUGUGGUUGUUAUUUCCUCCUGCGGGGUGUUUGUGGAUGACCAUCACUGUCCCGAGAGCACGCAGCAGACAGCACGGUGCGUCCAGGCAGAUGGCGGGCAGCGUCUGGGCAAACGUCGUGGUGUGUCCUGCUCAUGGCCAUGCCCAGCUCAAACCAGCUCCAACCCCGGCAAUGUCAACUUCAAAGGCUUCCCCACGCUGCAGCCACACUUCUGCCUGCGGAGACAAUUUCGGAAUCUCCUGAAGGCACAAGGAUGUUGGGACGCUGCGUGGCCUUUGGUGGCUCCAAGGGGAGAGAGCAGGACUGCAGGCACUGCUGUGCUGGCAGCAAGAGGGGUGCUGAGCUUGCCCUUGUGCAUGGAAACCCUCCAGAGCUCCCCCGGCUGACAUUGGAUCAGAGACAAACAAACAAGCGCAGCCCUCCCAAGGCCGAAGGAAAGCCCCAGCUCCCCGGGGAGGCAGAGUUAAUUCCAGGAUGCUGCUGGACGAGCUCUAGUGAGGGCUUGGCUGUGGCAAAGCUCUCGUUUCCCGUCUUCGUUCUGGGCAACUUUUCUGGUAGGGGAAGUUGUCUGAGAUGCCGAUAAAGAUAAUAAUGUAUGAAGUGAUUUCUUUAAGUUCCUGAUUUAUUGAAAUGUACACUAGUGUUUCCCUGUUUAAGCAAGCAAACAGCACCAUUUAGUUGGAGAAAAUUACGUGCACGAUUGGCUAUAUGGCUUCAUUUCACUGUAUUUUGAACAGAAUAUCCUGUUUACGCAGCUAAGGAAAAGCAAAAUCCACAUCUAUGAGAACUGCUGGUGUUUCUUCCAGACCCAUGCAAACCGUUGGCCAUGUUGUAGCAGGAUGCGCUCAGGAAGGGCGGAACAAGGAGCAGACGUGGGGAAGUUUCAGCUAAUAACAUCCAUUCUCAUAUGGGAAGGAAGCAGCAGGAAAAGGUCAGUGCAGGCCAGCAGUUAUGCAUUUUGUUCAAUGGAAGAUGCACAAUGGAAGAUCUUUUCUCCCAGGCAAUUACUGUAAUUAUGUUUACAAGCCAUGUAGCAGGUUUCUGACUGAACAAGCAAUCGGCAUGGGCGAUGAGA